UACGUAGGGUGCAAGCGUUAAUCGGAAUUACUGGGCGUAAAGCGUACGCAGGCGGCUUUGCAAGACAGGUGUGAAAUCCCCGGGCCUAACCUGGGAACUGCAUUUGUGACUGCAUCGCUGGAGUGCGGCAGAGGGGGAUGGAAUUCCACGUGUAGCAGUGAAAUGCGUAGAUAUGCGGAGGAACACCGAUGGCGAAGGCAAUCCCCUGGGCCUGCACUGACGCUCAUGCACGAAAGCGUGGGGAGCAAACAGG
rnacentral:rRNA from 1 species